AAAAAGACAAACCCUGGUUUCCGUGUCCAACGUUUGACCGUCCGUCUUAUUUGAAAAAAUUAUGAAAAAAAAUUAAAAAGACAAGUCACGCAUAAAAUAUUAAUCAUGUUUUAUCAUCUAACAACAAUGAAAAUACGAAUUAUAAAAAAAAUUCAUAUAAGACGGACAAUCAAAGUUGGACACGGAAACCCAGGGUUUGUCUUUUU
rnacentral:pre_miRNA from 1 species